rnacentral:rRNA from 1 species
CCUACGGGAGGCUGCAGUGGGGAAUAUUGGACAAUGGGGGCAACCCUGAUCCAGCCAUGCCGCGUGUGUGAAGAAGGCCCUCGGGUUGUAAAGCACUUUCAGUGAGGAAGAACGCCUGGUGGUUAAUACCCAUCAGGAAAGACAUCACUCACAGAAGAAGCACCGGCUAACUCCGUGCCAGCAGCCGCGGUAAUACGGAGGGUGCGAGCGUUAAUCGGAAUUACUGGGCGUAAAGCGCGCGUAGGUGGCUUGAUAAGCCGGUUGUGAAAGCCCCGGGCGCAACCUGGGAACGGCAUCCGGAACUGUCAAGCUAGAGUGCAGGAGAGGAAGGUAGAAUUCCCGGUGUAGCGGUGAAAUGCGUAGAGAUCGGGAGGAAUACCAGUGGCGAAGGCGGCCUUCUGGACUGACACUGACACUGAGGUGCGAAAGCGUGGGUAGCAAACAGGAUUAGAUACCCCUGUAGUC